rnacentral:rRNA from 1 species
CUAGGGAGGCAGCAGUGGGGAAUAUUGCACAAUGGGCGCAAGCCUGAUGCAGCCAUGCCGCGUGUAUAAAGAAGGCCUUCGGGUUGUAAAGUACUUUCAGCGGGGAGGAAGGCGUUGUGGUUAAUAACCACAGCGAUUGACGUUACCCGCAGAAGAAGCACCGGCUAACUCCGUGCCAGCAGCCGCGGUAA